GGGUGCUUAGUUUAUUUAAAACAAAUGCUUUGAAAGCAUUUAAAGGAAUCCUUUCCAGUACCCU
rnacentral:tRNA from 1 species